GCGAAAAGGGAUGUGAGAAUCAUCCCCGUCGAAAGCCCAAGGAUUCCUGAGCAAGGCUCGUCCUCUCAGGGUAAGUCGGGACCUAAGGCGAGGCCGAAAGGCGUAGUCGAUGGACAACAGGUAGAAAUUCCUGUACUACAAGAUUGUGAUUGAGAGAAGUACUGACGCAGAAGGAAAAGUCGAGCGUGUGAAUGGUAGAACACGUCCAAGUAACAAGCCAGAAUAUACAGGCAAAUCCGUAUAUUCGCUAACGUAAGUUAUCAUGGGGAGCAGAAAGAUGCGAAGCGACAAAUUCAAACUGCCAAGAAAAGGUGCUAUCGAAUAAUCUUGUACCCGUACCGCAAACCGACACAGGUAGGCAAGAAGAGAAUUCUAAGACGCGCGGAAGAACCUUUGUUAAGGAACUCGGCAAAAUAAUCCCGUAAGUUAGCGAGAAGGGAUGCCUAAGAAAUUAGGUCGCAGAGAAUAGGCCCAAGCGACUGUUUACCAAAAACACAAGUAUCUGCUAAAUCGAAAGAUGAAGUAUAGGUGCUGACACCUGCCCGGUGCUGGAAGGUCAAGGGGACUUGUUAGAGCAAUCGAAGCAACGAACUUAAGCCCCAGUAAACGGCGGCCGUAACUAUAACGGUCCUAAGGUAGCGAAAUUCCUUGUCGGGUAAGUUCCGACCCGCACGAAAGGUGUAACGAUUUGGGCGCUGUCUCAACAAAGGAUCCGGUGAAAUUGUAGUAGUCGUGAAGAUGCGACUUACCCACGGUAGGACGGAAAGACCCCGUGGAGCUUUACUGCAGGUUGACAUUGAAUUUUGGGAUUAAAUGUACAGGAUAGGUGGGAGACUAAGAAGCAAGCUCGCCAGAGUUUGCAGAGUCACUGUUGGGAUACCACCCUUUUAAUUCUAAAGUUCUAACUAGUUGCCAUGAAACUGGUAAUAGGACACUGUCAGUCGGGCAGUUUGACUGGGGCGGUCGCCUCCAAAAAAGUAACGGAGGCGUUCAAAGGUUCGCUCAGAAUGGUUGGAAAUCAUUCAAAGAGUACAAAGGCAAAAGCGAGCUUAACUGCGAGACAUACAGGUCGAGCAGAGACGAAAGUCGGACUUAGUGAUCCGGUGGUACCGAGUGGAAGGGCCAUCGCUCAACGGAUAAAAGCUACCCCGGGGAUAACAGGCUUAUCUCCCCCAAGAGUCCACAUCGACGGGGAGGUUUGGCACCUCGAUGUCGGCUCGUCUCAUCCUGGAGCUGGAGUAGGUUCCAAGGGUUGGGCUGUUCGCCCAUUAAAGAGGCACGCGAGCUGGGUUCAGAACGUCGUGAGACAGUUCGGUCCCUAUCCACCGUGGGCGUGAGAAAUUUGAGAGGAUCUGUCCUUAG
rnacentral:rRNA from 1 species